rnacentral:rRNA from 1 species
UCAGCAUGUCGCGGUGAAUACGUUCCCGGGCCUUGUACACACCGCCCGUCACACCAUGGGAGCCGGUAAUACCCGAAGUCAGUAGUCCAACCUCGUGAGGACGCUGCCGAAGGUAGGAUUGGCGACUGGGGUGAAGUCGUAACAAGGUAAC